ACCAAUAUUUUGCCGAAUUUUCUGCGGAAAAACGGGGAAACCAUUCCGGGUGAAUUAAUCCUGAUUCCGAGGGAUUAUAGGGAGCCUUCAACCGAACCCUCAGCUAACCUCGUAGGCACCGAAGGGAGAAUAA
rnacentral:sRNA from 1 species